rnacentral:rRNA from 1 species
UAUUGCACAAUGGGGGAAACCCCGAUGCAGCACCGCCGCGUGAGGGCAGAAGUAUUUCGGGAUGUAAAGCCCUAUCAGCAGGGAAGAAGAAGGACGGUACCUGACUAAGAAGCCCCGGCUAACUACGUGCCAGCAGCCGCGGUAAUACGUAGGGGGCAAGCGUUAUCCGGAUUUACUGGGUGUAAAGGGAGCGUAGGUGGCAGGGCAAGUCAGAUGUGAAAACCCGGGGCUCAACCCCGGGAGUGCAUUUGAAACUGUCCAGCUGGAGUGCAGGAGAGGUAAGCGGAAUUCCUAGUGUAGCGGUGAAAUGCAUAGAUAUUAGGAGGAACACCAGUGGCGAAGGCGGCUUACUGGACUGUAACUGACACUGAGGCUCGAAAGCGUGGGGAGCAAACAGG